UUGAUGGAUUACAUUUUAACAUUUGAAAUAACAUGUGCCAUUUAAGAACAGGGAGGGAAUGCAUUUGGAAUGUUUACAAAGUUGGGAGUGCAUGUUGAAUAAGUAUGCGGGGUGGGGUAGCAGGAUAAUGAUGAUAACCAAUUUCCUAUAGCCUGAUUAGAAACCUACAGGUGAUGCUGUCAACUAAGGAUAGGAAAGACAACAACAAAUUGAAAAUCAACUCAAAAUCAAGGAAACCGGAAACCAGAUGAAAGCAUCCCGGUUUUCACAAUUGUGUGCAAGUUUUUUAUAGUUCUUAGUUUGCUACUUUGUCUCAUAGACAUUUUAUCUGUUUAGUUAGUGAGAUAUGAAAGCUGGUGAUGUUUGCUGUGCACAUUUGCUUAUCCCCAUGCAACUGUUAUUCAGUGAGCACCAAGCAGAAGCGUUAACGGAGAAGGGUCAAGGACGUACAAGAGAUGGAAAAUGAUCUUCAUGGAGAAACAGAUAUGGGAGCAUGAAACUGCGUCACUAGUGAUAGGCGAUCAGCUAGUGUAUCAAUAGCACAUUGAAUUAUUAUCAUACUAAUCAUUGCGUUGAAUUCACUUAAACUGUAGCCUAAGAAAGACAGCGUUUAGCAUAUGUACUGAAAAAGCCAUUCAGCAUUUUGGACUGCACAGAGAUGGGUACCUGAUCUCUAGAGUGCACAAUUUGAGCCUAAAAAUAUUUGUCCAGCUUGCCCUGUUAUUUCAUCUUGCAUGCAUUGGUGGAUACAUAAACUCGGUGUACACCUUUGUGAUUCAUGGUGACAUAUUUGCAUUCUUGCUGACUUUA